CAGUAGGUCGAGCGGCGGCGGCGGAUAUCCGGAGGGUUGAGAUGGGAUCCACUGUUGGGAAGAGGAGGAGGCAGAGGCCGAAGCGGAAGGCCGCCUCCUGGAAGGUCCUCUUCCACCAUCCUCCGGUGCGGCGCCAUCAAGGCUGUCCUCGACAGGAAUGAGCUCGGCAAGGGUAGCUAUUCCUCGGACUGUCGUCGAGGCCCUCCAUGAGCAUAUCGCCGCACUCUGCUGGAAAUCCGACUCAAGGUAUGUCCCGAAGAUCACCCGGACCAGAGUCGGAGCGAUCAUUCCAACAAGUUACUCAGUCCUCCUCUGUUAUUUCUCCGCCUGCUUGAUGUUUGUUUCUUUUUCCUAUACUGAUUUGUUGAUGUUACUUGGUCCGAGCGAUGUACCUCGGGGUCAAGUCGGCAAGAGUGCCGUCUGCAGGAGUGGUGUAUGUUGGGCAGACAUACCGCCGGGCUUGAGGGGCUGCCGAAGGCGGUUGACUUGGAGGGAGAAAGGAGCAAUGGUUUUGCGGCUUAAGUCGUGGCGAGCAGGGCAUGUAGGUGACGACCACGGGAGCCAUGCGCGUCGUGCUGCAUUGUACGUUGUGGCCCCCUAAACUCUAACUCAGUUAGAAUUUGUCAGAAGUGGAUGCAGUUCAGCAGGGGCUUGGAGUCCCACAAGCAGGGUCUCGGAACUGUCCAGAGAAGAUUGAGCAAUGAGGACAGCCAAAAAGAUAUAGUAGGAGGCUAUUCAUAGAAGAGAACAAUAGACAGGGAAGAUCCAAUUGGAGGCAGUUACAAAAUUGCAAUCACAAUUUCAAGAGGAAGGUUAAGGUAUCUUUUUCCUUGCUAGAUAAAAUGGUUCGCUCUGCAUUUAAUUAGGAAGGUGAUUGAGUAAAGCUGUGCCUCGAAUUCAGAAGUUAAGAUGAAUAGACGGUGUAGUUUUAGCAUUCUCAUACUAUUCUCCGUAGAUAUAGUUUUGGUUCAUGUGAACUGCUGGAGUUCAGCCAAUGGACUCUACAUACAUUUUAUGUGCAGUGGUUCUUAUACAAAUGUUCAGAGGUGACAAAAAUAUAGAGGGCUAUCCAUCUUUAGAAGAAAAAAAACAUCUUUUUGAGACAUAGAUGGAUUGAUUCCGUAUGCAUUUAUAUUUUACCGGGAUGUUCUUAUUUUGAUUACUAAUUCAAUGCAUCUCCAUCUCUGAUAUGUGUUAGAGUAAAGACCUGCCAGCCCGCAUACGGAGUUUAUCAUUAAUGAUUGUAAGAAUAUUGGCUAAUUCUAAUCGCUUGAGUUUAUAAUCAUAUAUGAGUCCCUUUUAAACAAAUAUCUGCACUAAGUGCCAUUUUUGAACUCUCCUACUCCAUCCAUGUGAUGGCCGGAAGUCGAUCCAUUGUCCUGAAUGUUAGCUUAUUCCUUAAUGGCCAUACACCAAAAUUCUCUCCAAUUUGGUUAUUUUAGCUUCCUUUGUCAACAAUAAGGUUAUUUUAUCUUUCUCAAUUGUGAUCAGAUCUUUGUAAUACAUGGGAAUGUGCAAUUUUCCAACAUAUAUAUUUUCUCUUUGUACCCAUUGAAUACGAGAGAAUUACUUUCUGGAGGGUUUAUUCGAAAUUGAUUGAUAAAAUUUUCACAUUAAGAACUCAUUGACCUAUUUUUCUAAACAUUAAAUCGUUAUCAUCUUUCCACUGAAGUUUUGAGGCUUAUAGAUAUUUCUCUUGCAGGUUUGUCUUAUUCACGUUCACAAUUCAUUGGUAAACUUCAUUUGAAGAUUUUUCAUCUACAUCUCAGUCCGGCCUUAGUCACAUGAACAAAAUCAUUGUUAUUAGUUUUUUUCUUACUAAACGCAGCUUGGGAUCUGCUCAAACAGAUUGAUGAGCUCUUGAUUAUUCUGCCAAAGCUCUCAGGAGUCAAGAGCAUGUGUAUAGAUGGUUAAAUGUGUGGACUGCUAUGACACCAUGUAGCCAAAUUUGAUCUGAAUCAUGACUAGCAUGACUCACAAGCAGUUCCUCCAGAUUUAGACUUGAGAUAUAAUUCCCGCAACUUCAGUGGCACAUAAACCAUUUGAUGUAUUACUGAAAGAUGCACGAGUCGUGGUUUCGGUUUUUCAGGGUCCUACAGUGAUAGCAUGCACAUAAAGUAUCUUUCAAAAUGGCAAACUUCGAAAUGCACACAGCUUCCUGUUAAAGGUGAAUCCAACAGGCGGUGUAGCAAUUUAAGGACACCCUGGUUGAAAGGCUUUGUCGCAAUCAAUUGCUUAAAUGGCUAAUUAUUGAAUACUUUCUCGGAAAUGGAUCAAGAUGAUGUAACUUCAUGCGAGAACAUUUUAUUUUUCCUUCCUAUCACUUCUAAGAGAUGGCCGAUCCAUGUCUUUUUGAAUGAGAAGUUCCAUAGUUUGCUUUAAUGUGUAGUAACGUUACUCUUAUGUGAAAUCACACCAUCAGUUAAAAUCUAUAUGUUAUUCUUUUUUUUCCUUGAUAUUUAUUUUGGAUGAUAUUAGUAAUGAAUCCAAAUUUCAUGCUACAAAUACCUCAGCACUACCGUAGUAAUCCAUGUUAUUGCGCAUUUUCUAUCUAUGUAAUAAACCACAGUAAGGUUGUAUCGCUGUGCUGAUCUACCAUGUAAACACACAAUGCGUGUCUUGCAAAUCGAAUUAUAUGUAUUAUCAGCAAUGCUUUGCCUGCUUA